UACAGAGGUCUCAACCGUUGUUCGGAUUCAUUGGGCGUAAAGGGUGCGUAGGCGGUCGCGCAAGUCGGAUGUGAAAUCUCAGGGCUCAACCCUGAAACUGCAUUCGAUACUGCGUGGCUAGAGUGCUGGAGGGGAGACUGGAAUUUACGGUGUAGCAGUGAAAUGCGUAGAUAUCGUAAGGAAGACCAGUGGCGAAGGCGAGUCUCUGGACAGCAACUGACGCUGAGGCACGAAGGCCAGGGGAGCGAAUGGG
rnacentral:rRNA from 1 species